ACGCUUUUUAUAUCGAAGUUGGAUUUUUCUCUAGAUACAGAUCCAGAUUCAGAUUUUCUCCCAACUUCGGAAGUAGUGCCCUGGAUUCGACUAAAGAUGCGCUAAACAACACAUCAAUUAGUUUGACAGAUGAAAUUUCGGAAGAAAGUUCGGUUCGGAAGUCCCGACUUCCGAAUUCUAAGUUGAUGCUACGCCGACAAUACUGAUUCUGCGAGCAAGAACGGCCGAUCAUUUCCCGCUGUACCGUGAAAUUGAAUUAAAAAUAUAUUAACCAUCACUGAUGAUUCAAUAUCGUUCGGCGACUAUCAUCGAGCUAUAUCACCAACGGGAUACAAUAAAAAAUUAAACAGGAAAAAAAAUGCGAGCAGCAUUAGUUACAGCGGCUUCAGUGAGUAUAGCCGGUUGCAUCAUUGGCGACUGAAAUCUACGUUUAUGAAUCCCGGUCUGAAUAGCAGUUAACGCACUUAACAAUACCACUAAUAAUUUUAAUUUUAAUUCGA